rnacentral:rRNA from 1 species
UGGGGAAUAUUGGACAAUGGGGGAAACCCUGAUCCAGCAAUGCCGCGUGAGUGAUGAAGGCCUUAGGGUUGUAAAGCUCUUUCGGGUGGGACGAUGAUGACGGUACCACCAGAAGAAGCCCCGGCUAACUUCGUGCCAGCAGCCGCGGUAAUACGAAGGGGGCUAGCGUUGUUCGGAAUUACUGGGCGUAAAGCGCACGCAGGCGGUCCGUUAAAUAAGGAGUGAAAGCCCUGGGCUCAACCCGGGAAUUGCUCUUUAGACUGGCGGACUUGAAUCCGGAAGAGGGCAGUGGAAUUCCCAGUGUAGAGGUGAAAUUCGUAGAUAUUGGGAAGAACACCAGUGGCGAAGGCGACUGCCUGGUCCGGCAUUGACGCUCAUGUGCGAAAGCGUGGGGAGCAAACAGGAUUAGAUACCCCCGUAGUCC